rnacentral:rRNA from 1 species
GGUUAAGCGACUAAGCGUACACGGUGGAUGCCCUGGCAGUCAGAGGCGAUGAAGGGCGUGCUAAUCUGCGAUAAGCGCCGGUAAGGUGAUAUGAACCGUUAUAACCGGCGAUACCCGAAUGGGGAAACCCAGUGUGAYUCGUCACACUAUCAUUAACUGAAUCCAUAGGUUAAUGAGGCGAACCGGGGGAACUGAAACAUCUAAGUACCCCGAGGAAAAGAAAUCAACCGAGAUUCCCCCAGUAGCGGCGAGCGAACGGGGAGGAGCCCAGAGCCUGAAUCAGCAUGUGUGUUAGUGGAAGCGUCUGGAAAGGCGCGCGAUACAGGGUGACAGCCCCGUACACAAAAGCGCAUGUGCUGUGAGCUCGAUGAGUAGGGCGGGACACGUGGUAUCCUGUCUGAAUAUGGGGGGACCAUCCUCCAAGGCUAAAUACUCCUGACUGACCGAUAGUGAACCAGUACCGUGAGGGAAAGGCGAAAAGAACCCCGGCGAGGGGAGUGAAAAAGAACCUGAAACCGUGUACGUACAAGCAGUGGGAGCACAGGUUUACCUGUGUGACUGCGUACCUUUUGUAUAAUGGGUCAGCGACUUAUAUUCUGUAGCAAGGUUAACCGMAUAGGGGAGCCGGAGGGAAACCGAGUCUUAAUUGGGCGUUAAGUUGCAGGGUAUAGACCCGAAACCCGGUGAUCUAGCCAUGGGCAGGUUGAAGGUUGGGUAACACUAACUGGAGGACCGAACCGACUAAUGUUGAAAAAUUAGCGGAUGACCUGUGGCUGGGGGUGAAAGGCCAAUCAAACCGGGAGAUAGCUGGUUCUCCCCGAAAGCUAUUUAGGUAGCGCCUCGUGAAUUCAUCUCCGGGGGUAGAGCACUGUUUCGGCUAGGGGGCCAUCCCGGCUUACCAACCCGAUGCAAACUGCGAAUACCGGAGAAUGUUAUCACGGGAGACACACGGCGGGUGCUAACGUCCGUCGUGAAGAGGGAAACAACCCAGACCGCCAGCUAAGGUCCCAAAGUCAUGGUUAAGUGGGAAACGAUGUGGGAAGGCCCAGACAGCCAGGAUGUUGGCUUAGAAGCAGCCAUCAUUUAAAGAAAGCGUAAUAGCUCACUGGUCGAGUCGGCCUGCGCGGAAGAUGUAACGGGGCUAAACCAUGCACCGAAGCUGCGGCAGCGA